rnacentral:lncRNA from 1 species
UCGCAUCGGUAGUUAACGCUCCCAAACCUCGGCACUUAAGUGUCGAUGAUCUGAUAUCAGUGCUCUACGAAAACUGCCAGCAAAAUACCCAAAAAUAGCACAAAAAAUAAACGGGUUAAAAGCAACAAUACUUGUUUUUUUUACGUCAAAAGUGUGUGUUGAUACCUCCUAUGACUGAUGCUUCAAUGAUUUUGGAGCAAGAUAGGAUGGAAAAAAAUUGGAUUUGGGGGUUUAGAUGUAAGAGGAAUAAAAGUUGAUGAUGAAAUAGUGAGCAGGGGGAGCAGCUGGAUGUUAUCAGCAGAUGGAACAGCGCAUCGACAGUUAACUGCCGAGGUUUUCAAAAAACCGACGGCACUUACCUGACGAUGAAUAGGAAACCGACGGUAGUUAAGUGUCGAGGGGCAAUUUGAUCUUUUAAUUGUGUCUUUCAGCUAAAUAACAUGUGGGAACAACAAUUUUUUUUCUUCUUGGUACAAAUAUUGUAUUAUAAUAGGUUUUAGUGCAAUUUAUACUUUUCUUUUCUCCAUUAAU